rnacentral:lncRNA from 1 species
AGACUAUAGUAGAUAUUGAUGAGGACGUUCACAGGCUAGAUAGAGUUAUCAUAGACCUCCAGUCCUCAGUUAACUCCAUCACUAGGCAGCUCUCUAACCACAACACCGUUAUACUAGGCCUUAGACAUGAUCUUGCUAGUGCCAAUAAGAAGAUCAAGGAGUUAGAGCGCCGCUAAGUUAUCUAGAUUAGAUCUUGAGGCAAUGCAUCUUAGUUAUUUGUCUUUAAAUUCGGUUUAGAUUUUUACUAUUAUCGUCAGUUUGCUACUAGUCAUUUGUAAUAAAUGCCUCAAGAUUAAUAAAGAGUAUUAUUAUUAUUAUGUCGUGUGCGUCUCUACUUUAUUUUUGUGCAAGAGAGCAGAAAACAAGUAUGGGGGAGAUCCCUUAACACACCAAACAGACUUUGACUACACCACUUCACGAUUCAGGUACAUACUCUGCACACUUUACGCAUACACAUCUUGGAUUAUGCAGAAUAUUGUCUCCGACAUGAUAAAUAUUAAAAAGAUUAAAAUGUUUCUAAUCAUGAUUAAUCUCACUCUGUGAUAUUUCAUGAAACUUGCAAUUAUUGAAAAAUCAUUUUUAAAACCCUGUGUUACUAAGUCAUUGUGGAAUGUCAGAUGGUAGAGUAUGAGUUCUUAUUCUUGAUAUCAUUGUUGCUUGGAGAAUUUAUUUCAAAAUCUUCAAAAUUCUAGCUACCAUCCUCAGUGUUUUAUAUGCCUGAUAAACCUAAAAAUAUUAAUGAUAAUUAUAAAAGUUAUCUACUCUGUAUUAAGUUUGUUCAAAAUGAGUUAGACACUUGUUGAGAGAUUUAUCAUGCUCCUAAGAUCAAGACAUUUAUUCAGAAAGAUUCACUCUUCUAAAGUAUUAUUGCAUUAGAGGCAUGGGCUAUGCAAAAAUAAAGAUGUUUCGAGGAAAUAAAAAGGAGCAAGUGCUCGAUAACCUCACAGAAAAAUGGACAAGUGUCCGGCAGUAGAAUUAGGGGUACCUCGGUAUCCACUUAAAAAAAAGAAAAAAGAAGAAGAAAAUGAUAGCCCAUGGUCCCUCUAAUAAGCAAUAUGCCAGCAAGAGUUGACAAGUUUUUAAUUUCCAAAGUUUUUGAUCUAAGAUUAUGACAUUCUUCUCCUUGGAUCCCGUUUUGAUCAGGCAAUAAAUGCAAAGUAAGUAUGCUUGAGAAUUUUUGCAAAUUAAAACAGCCUCUGUCACAGAACCGACCAAAUUAUAAGAGUUCAAGUGUAGAAACGAUCGUCUAGCAAUCAAGUUUCCAAACUUGAGCCCAUAUAAUCCCGUUAGUCAACUGAAAUCACGAAGGACUUCAAACCAACUUGCAACAAACCAAGAUCGUAAUAGUUCAACAUAACACAGCGAAUGUUACAUGGUCAUUCAUUGCCGUCGAAGCGGCACCACAUUGGAGUUACUUAGUUAUUACAACACAUGUUUGUAGUAGCGGAAGCAAAAUAGUUUACAACACAUAUUCCAAAGUUCAGUUCCCAAGUUCUUGUUACUGCCAGAGUCUCAUACCAUCCAUCCAAAAGCAACAGGUACGAAGUAGUUAGAGAGCUGUGCCCAACGGUUUAGUCCUCAUCCCCAGCGGGAUGGAGACAGGUCUUGCAGAAGCCAUCAUAAAAGAUAUCAUCUGCAACAGGUGGGAAUAAACCCUGAGUACGAGGAUGUACUCAGCUAGACUUACCCGUCUAGUAAAAUAUAAAAGACACCAAGGAUCAUGCAAGGCUAAGUAUAAAGUGUAGCUGGCUUGACUCAACAUUUGCCAAAAGCUUAAGUAGAGACUACACCAUUGUAAAAGCAUCAUAUUAAUCAUCAUUAGCCUACCACUAGAUUAGCACCUAUACUAAAACACUUCACUUGAUUAUUACAAGCAAUAAUAACCAUAUCAAGUUCAUCAUAUGUUCUUCCUUGCUAUCAUCAUUAUCACGAACCAAUGUUCUUUAGUGAAUGCUACGUUUGUCGCUGCUCUGUCAAGUUCUCACU